rnacentral:lncRNA from 1 species
CUGUGCCGAAGGGAAUUUGGAGGAUGGGAUGGAGGAGCGUAGGGCGGACCUCAGAUGCGGUGGGCUCUCCACUGCGCUGGGCCGGAGGUCGCUGCUCCACGAUGUGGAGGUGAAGUGGGAGGGUGCGAGGAUUGUCCGGCCAAGGGAGGGGGACUGGGACGGGAAUGUGGUCGAGACGGUGGAGGUCCUGAGGAGGGGGGCGGGGAGUUGUGUGAUUGGUUUCAUGGAACCGGAAACGGUUCCUGGUGCGUGGAGGUGGUUGUUGGGGCGGGGAGGCUGACGGCAGGAUGCGCUGGGGUUUCGGUUUUGUAGUCU